UAGCGUAGGGGGCUAGCGUUGUCCGGAAUCAUUGGGCGUAAAGCGCGUGUAGGCGGCUCGAAAAGUCUGGUGGUGAAAUCUUGGGGGCUCAACCCUAAGCUGUCACUGGAUACUGUCGGGCUUGAGUCCGGAAGAGGAGUGUGGAAUUCCUGGUGUAGCGGUGGAAUGCGCAGAUAUCAGGAGGAACACCAAUGGCGAAGGCAGCACUCUGGUACGUGACUGACGCUGAGACGCGAAAGCGUGGGGAGCGAACAGG
rnacentral:rRNA from 1 species